rnacentral:lncRNA from 1 species
ACAACUCUACCAUUAGUGUGUUUUUAUAGCAUCCUGUAGUAGUUCUCUUCCAUUUAUACGUCCUCCUUUCCUUCCUCUAUCUUUCCUAUGUCAGGUGUAUGAGGAUGACUGGGUACUGACUCAAGCCUCUGACUCUGGCUGUCCGUCUGAGGUCCUGUUGGAGCAGGAUCGUGUUUUUGAGAAGAGCAGCGCCCCAGACCUGCUGAACCCCCCUAACCUAGACCACAUGGUGCUAGAGUGGGACCCCUCCGUCGACAUCGGGGGCCCCGUCUCCCAAUCCGACGCCUACUUGUCAUAUUUCAGCGCCAACACAGAUCGAGAAAAGCCACUGGCCAGAGAUGGUGUAAAGAGGCGGAGUUACCUCGGCUCCAUAGGCUCUCAGUCUGAUAUAAAUUACAGAGCAGCAGAGGAAAUGGUGAGUAGACCGAGCUCCUCCUACUGAUCUUUAUUCUGGCUCUUCGCUCGACCGCUGUUCCCUUAGGCUCAGAGGCACACGCAGGUCAACAUGUUUCUGCAAUAUUAUCAGGAAUGUAAACUUGUGUUCAACCGGCAAAGGAAUUUGAAUAAUGCAUUGGACAGUGUAUACUGAAGUAUGUGUGAAACACAUGAUCCAUUGAAAUGACACACAAUGUUGUUCUUCACUUCGAUUAACAAGGAGUUAUUGUGUGUGUGUGUGUGUGAGGAAAAAGCUAUCUUAGCUCUUCUUUUUUUUUUUGUUGAUAAGCCUAAAGCCAAUACUUUCAUUAUCAUCGGUGUCAGUACAGAGAAGUUUUGUUUUGCUGGUGCGACUAAUAAUACUGAUUGUGUUGAACUCCAAACCAAACCCAUUGGAUUUAAUAGUGGAAGAUGCAGAAAUGUAGGACUAAUUUUAGCAUCUGAUUUAAGCCAGAAAUAUAAAGACUUCAAAGACUCCUCCAGGGUUUUUGCAUAUUAAAACCAAAACUCUCAAUGAAAUGUGUUAGUUCAUUCCAGGUAAAAUGUACACAAUCUAUCCUCACUUGUGGCUGGUGUUUCCAGAGGCUGGAGAGGAGGUUUGAGUAUGCAGGCCCAGUGUUCUCACCUCCCACGAUCCAGAGUGUCAGAGAUGGCAAACCUCUACUCUCUGGCCACUGGACGACCUCCAUGCCCGACGGACCCUCCCAGGAGCCUGUGAACUUUGACCCUGAUCGCAUCAGCGCCUGGCUGGGACAGACGCACGGACACACCGUCCCCUCUAUAGCCCCCUCGGUCCAACCGCACAGAGCCUGCUCCAAGGCUGUCCAGACCGACAGUACUUGGAAGUGUGCUGGUUGCUCUGAGGGAAGCCACAGUCUCAGGUACAUCCCUGUUCAGACACACCUCCAGGAGCUGUGUUUGACCCCCUACACCUUACAGUCAUGUGACCUCCAGCUCAAGUCUGAUAGGAUGGCUUGUAGACUUCAGUUAAACCCACAGGUAACAGUAUCACAUCACAUUGCAUUGCUUGCUGUUUGGGGUUUUAGGCUGGGUUUCUGUACAGCACUUUGA